GGUAAUAUGGCUGAUAAAGGCAAUAAAUUGUAAAUUUAUUUAUGAAUUAAAAAUUCUUUUACCA
rnacentral:tRNA from 1 species